CAAGUUAUACAUUGUUUAAAUGUAGGAUUUAAGAACCCAAUAUACUGAUGAAAUAAAUAAUUCCGAUCAUUAUGAUGCAGAACUCUCUCCCUGAUUAUAUCCUGCUAAUAUGCAAUAGUGUUGCUUUUGUAUUCAAUGCUUAUUGAUAAAUGACUUUACUGUCCACAGACUAAAAUGAAAACACAUGACAUGUAGUAGUUACUUCAUCAGAGAUACAUUAUUAAGCCUUUGGUGUUGAUACAAACCCAUUGGAGCAGUUGACGAAUGAAAAUGGUAUCUCUCCAAGUACUGUACUGUAUUGUGUUCCACACCAGCUGCAUGUGAUGGGAGUAUGGCGCUGUGUAUCCAUUUCACUGAUCAGCCAUUGGUAACGAGUAAUCAAAGGAAAGCUGCCAUUCAACAAAAGGGGACAUUGUAUCACACUCUGUAUUGGGACUGUAUCACAAUUCCACAGAUCAAGUCCAGCCUUUGGUGUUUGAUAAAAAAUGUUGGAAGGAACAUUGGUCAUGAAGAUGUUUACCUUGUCAUUCAAUAUGGUGUUCCAGGCCAGUCUCUGCUGUUGUAGGAGUGUCAUAGUGCAUCACUAACCAGAAGAUCAACCAUAGUAAAGAUAAAAGAACGUGGCAUCUAGCAGCUGGUUAAUAUCAGAUAUAUUAAGCUGUUGGUUGCACAAUAUAAAAUACUCGGGACCAACUACACUAUAUUGAGGAGGCGGCAUCAUCGUUCAUCACAGGUCCAGCCUUUGGUGUCUGAUGAAAAAUGUUGGAAGGAACAUUGGUCAUGAAGAUGUUUACCUUGUCAUUCAAUAUGGUGUUCCAGGCCAGUCUCUGCUGUUGUAGGAGUGUCAUAGUGCAUCACUAACCAGAAGAUCAACUAUAGUAAAGAUAAAAGAACGUGGCAUCUAGCAGCUGGUUAAUAUCAGAUAUAUUAAGCUGUUGGUUGCACAAUAUAAAAUACUCGGGACCAACUACACUAUAUUGAGGAGGCGGCAUCAUCGUUCAUCACAGGUCCAGCCUUUGGUGUCUGAUGAAAAAUGUUGGAAGGAACAUUGGUCAUGAAGAUGUUUACCUUGUCAUUCAAUAUGGUGUUCCAGGCCAGUCUCUGCUGUUGUAGGAGUGUCAUAGUGCAUCACUAACCAGAAGAUCAACCAUAGCAAAAAUAAAAGGUUGACAUCUUGCAGCUGGUUUGAGAUAUAUGAAGGAUUGGAAUGAAGUCAGUCUGAAGGCUGCAAGAAUACAGAAGAGGAGGGGGGGGGUCUUCUAUGUUUCAUCUACAGUACUUCUAUAUUACAAUUGAUUAAUGGAAGAUGAAAAAUAUGGUUACAUGAGAACAUAUUAGUCCUGUUACUGUAUAUCUUCCACAAGGCAACUAGUUGUCUGUAGUAUUUAGUUUUACAACACCAGGACAAGGCACAGCCCGGUCAUGGUACUCGAACACAUACUGUCAACUCUUGUGUGACUGCAGCAUUAAGGUGUUAAAAUUUAAACCUUUCCCCCUUAAGAUGUUACAGGUGACAUAAGUUUCAUCUAAUCAAAUCUUAAAAGAAACGGCUUUGGCUAAAGAUGCUGCCUGUAUCUUGUAACUCAAGAAUUCAGCCCAUGUUUUAAUGUCAGAGGAAUAGAAGAUUAAUG